rnacentral:rRNA from 1 species
GGUAUUGAAAUAAGAUUUUAAUUGAAUGCUAAGAGAAUGGAAGUCCAGAAAAAAACUUUUUUUAAAUUAAAAAUUGAAGUUUUUUUAAUUUGUGCAGAAACAAUUAUUUAUAUUAAAGACAAGAAGACCCUAUGAAUUUAUUAAAUUUUUAUUUAAUAUGUAAUUACUAUUAGAAAAAUUUUGGCUGGGGCGGCUAGAAAAUAUUAUAAACUUUUUAAAAAUAAAAUGAUCCAUUAUUAAGGAUUUUAUGUUAAAUACUCUAGGGAUAACACCGA